rnacentral:lncRNA from 1 species
CUAUGAUUGCUCCACCGGACUCGAACAUAGGAAAUUUCUCGAUUCCUUAACCUGCGCACUUCACGAGCGGUAAUUGCCACCGAAAACUCCUCGUAGCUCAGGUCUUCCUGAAGUUCCUGCGGUUCAUACAACAUUGCGUGCUCGUGAUCAGGGAUGUACUUGCGAAGAUUGGAGACGUGGAAUAUGUAAUAUACCAGAUUUUGGUAUAAAAAUAAUAAUAAAUAAAAAUAGUGCGAGAAACUAUUUUUAUUAGAUUUAUAGAGGUAAAACAUAAGUCAGAGGUGACUUGUGCUGAAAUCAGAAUUAAAACAGAAGAUCUAGAAUUUUCUGUUGGAAACGGGACAGAUAAAUUAGCAGAAAAUGUACAGUCUCAGAAAAUUAUGAAAAUUGGCAGAGAUGUCAGAAAUAUUUUUAUGAGGCUAGAUUUANCCGUAGUUAGCGCCCUACCACAGAGACCAGAUAGCAGCACCCUGAGUCGGCUUCUUAGGGGUAUAAGAAAAGAAAAGAAAAGAAUCGAUGUUGUAAUAAUAUGUUUAGAAAUCGAUUGUAUAUUUAGAAGUUGAGGAUCAAUGUAAUAAAAAAAAAAUGCGAUGUAAAAUGAUGUGAUGAAUGAUUGUAAUAACAUAGGAUGUGUUAUGUUGUUUGAUACCUUCCUUAUGCAAUCGU